AUUGAACGCUGGCGGCAGGCUUAACACAUGCAAGUCGAGCGGGGGAAGGUAGCUUGCUACUGGACCUAGCGGCGGACGGGUGAGUAAUGCUUAGGAAUCUGCCUAUUAGUGGGGGACAACAUCUCGAAAGGGAUGCUAAUACCGCAUACGUCCUACGGGAGAAAGCAGGGGAUCUUCGGACCUUGCGCUAAUAGAUGAGCCUAAGUCGGAUUAGCUAGUCGGUGGGGUAAAGGCCUACCAAGGCGACGAUCUGUAGCGGGUCUGAGAGGAUGGGCCGCCACACUGGGACUGGGACACGGACCGGACUGCUACGGGAGGCAGCAGUGGGGAAUAUUGGACAAUGGGGGGAACCCUGAUCCAGCCAUGCCGCGUGUGUGAAGAAGGCCUUAUGGUUGUAAAGCACUUUAAGCGAGGAGGAGGCUACUCUAGUUAAUACCUAGGGAUAGUGGACGUUACUCGCAGAAUAAGCACCGGCUAACCCUGUGCCAGCCGCCGCCGUAA
rnacentral:rRNA from 1 species